AGCUGUUAGUGUCGUGCAGCUAGCAACGCGCGAGGACAUGUUCCACGUUGCGUCAAGCGGCUGUACUUCCAUGGUCUGACGUGCGACGGCUAACUCAGAACUGGCACGGACCAGGGGAGUCCGACUGUCCAAUUAAAACGAAGCAUUGCGAUGUCCACUGAUUUACUUUGACGCAAUAUGAUUUCUGCCCAGUGCCCUGAAUGUCAAAAUGAAGAAAUUCAACCGAGCGCGGGUAAACGGCGUGAGUAACUAUGACCCUCUAGCACAUUGCUCUCCAUCGUCUUCCGAAUCUUUGGUCGUUUCUUCGCCUCCUCGACAUCGUUUCCGGUUCAAUUCUAUCAAUUCAAUACUACUCAAGACGGUGAUUCGGGACGUAUAGAUUUUUAUUAAUAAUAAUAAUAAUUUAUUCGCAAAUAACAGUUUGCUGCAUGAGGCAUGCCGGUUUACAGGCAAGAUCAAAUUGUUACAGAAGUUACAAUUUUCACUG
rnacentral:ncRNA from 1 species